rnacentral:lncRNA from 10 species
AGGGGGGCAAUCCCCAAACCCAUCCAAGUUAGAAGAAGCAGGAGCCGGAAGCUAGAAGUGACCUUGAGAAAUUGAGCCAGUUGCUCCUUCAUAGAUCUGCAGAGAGCAUCAGAUUUUUUGAAUAACACACAGGAUGAUGUUUGGAACUAACUUUGUCCUGAUUUUAAGGAGCACGGUUGCUUUUGAAAACCAGGGGAGCUGUUUUAUUCUUCUGAUAAUUAUAAGAAAAACAAGAAAAGAGAAGAGAAGCGUGUCCCUCUUUACCUCCAUAGACCUACUGCCACCCCUGGAAACACACAGGCUCUGUUGCCAGGACCAAGGCUGAAAAAGCCGUUGUGGUGUGCAGUCGUGCAGCUGCAGAGAGAUGUGGACUGUUAUAAUAAAUACAAACAGCUGAUUCUACAAUGCAGGUUCUUACUUUGGGGAGAAGGAAACCUCGUAUGGUUUUUGGUUUCGAUUUUUUUCUAUAACCAGAUGUCUCAUCUUCGGUUACUUUUUCCUGAUAAUAUCUAUUGCUAUUGAGUGUUCUAGAUGUUUUUUUCUACCUUUGAUAUGCCAGACAGAAUGAAGUAUAAUCUUUCUCCCUUGGUGGCAAUUUAAACAAAGAGACAUAUUUCUUAUCUAUUUACUAGUGGUUAAUAUAGCAGUUAAAUGUCUCCAACUUUUUAACUCUUUUUCUGUCCCUUAUUCCUCAGAUGCUGGAAAAACAAAUAAUCUAUUGUUCUAGAUGAUUCCCUGGACUUUAAAGCCACGCCAUAAAUAUCAUUAUUGUGCCUUGUCUGAAAGGACAGAAAAUUUCCAGUAUUUUUGUAAAAAUAGAUAGAUGGAUUUUUGCUCAUGAGGCAUAAUUUUGUUCUUCCAAUAGCUGGAAUUACUCUUUUGUUAAAGAAGUCAAUUUCAUUUUGUUUUCAAAACAAAAAGCAUGCACAAAGACAUUCUUCUGGCAUAGAAAUCCAUCAUAUCAGAAAUAGUUUUAAUCAAGGCAAAGAAGAAGCCUUUAAUGGCAAAAGCGUAUUUAUCAUCUAAUCAUUUAUAAAAGGGUUUUAUUUGACUUGGCUUGGAAAUUGUUUUAGCAGAUUGUAUGAAACAAGGCACCUCCUGCAGACUGAAUCAUAACACAUACAUUUGUCCAAUAUUCUUAGCUAGUUUUAAACAUUUGAUGUGUGUAUGCACAAUCGAAAGGAAGUCAGAAAGAGCCUUUAUUUUUAAUUAUUAUACUCAU